rnacentral:rRNA from 1 species
GAAGAGCUCAAAUUUAUAAUCUGGCACCUUCGGUGUCCGAGUUGUAAUCUCUAGAAAAUGUUUGUCCGCGUUGGACCGCACACAAGUCUGUUUGGAAUACAGCUGGCAUAGUGGUGAGACCCCCGGUAUAUGGUGCGGACGCCCAGCGCUUUGUGAUACAUUUUCGAAGAGUCGAGUUGUUUGGGAAUGCAGCUCAAAUUGGGUGGUAAAUUCCAUCUAAAGCUAAAUAUUGGCGAGAGACCGAUAGCGAACAAGUACCGUGAGGGAAAGAUGAAAAGCACUUUGGAAAGAGAGUUAACAGUACGUGAAAUUGUUGGAAGGGAAACGCUUGAAGUCAGACUUGCUUGCCGAGCAAUCGGUUUGCAGGCCAGCAUCAGUUUUCCGGGAUGGAUAAUGGUAGAGAGAAGGUAGCAGUUUCGGCUGUGUUAUAGCUCUCUGCUGGAUACAUCUUGGGGGACUGAGGAACGCAGUGUGCCUUUGGCGGGGGUUUCGACCUCUUCACACUUAGGAUGCUGGUGGAAUGGCUUUAAACGACC